rnacentral:rRNA from 1 species
AGAGUUUGAUCAUGGCUCAGAGCGAACGCUGGCGGCAGGCCUAACACAUGCAAGUCGAGCGGCCGUAGCAAUACGGCAGCGGCAGACGGGAGAGUAACACGUGGGAACGCGCCCUUCGGUUCGGGAUAACUCAGGGAAACUUGGGCUAAUACCGGAUACGCCCUUUCGGGGAAAGAUUUAUUGCCGAAGGAACGGCCCGCGUCCGAUUAGCUUGUUGGUGAGGUAACGGCUCACCAAGGCGACGAUCGGUAGCUGGUCUGAGAGGAUGACCAGCCUCACUGGGACUGAGACACGGCCCAGACUCCUACGGGAGGCAGCAGUGGGGAAUAUUGGACAAUGGGCGCAAGCCUGAUCCAGCCAUGCCGCGUGGGUGAUGAAGGCCCUAGGGUUGUAAAGCCCUUUCGGCGGGGAAGAUAAUGACGGUACCCGCAGAAGAAGCCCCGGCUAACUUCGUGCCAGCAGCCGCGGUAAUACGAAGGGGGCUAGCGUUGCUCGGAAUUACUGGGCGUAAAGCGCACGUAGGCGGCUUUCUAAGUCGGGGGUGAAAUCCUGGAGCUCAACUCCAGAACUGCCUUCGAUACUGGAGAGCUCGAGUCCGGGAGAGGUGAGUGGAACUGCGAGUGUAGAGGUGAAAUUCGUAGAUAUUCGCAAGAACACCAGUGGCGAAGGCGGCUCACUGGCCCGGUACUGACGCUGA